GGGCCCGUAGCUCAGCUUGGACAGAGCGGCGCCGUCCUAAGGCGUAGGUCACGAGUUCAAAUCUCAUCGGGCCCG
rnacentral:tRNA from 1 species